rnacentral:rRNA from 1 species
GUGUCAGCAGCCGCGGUAAUACGGGGGGUCCAAGCGUUGUUCGGAAUCACUGGGCGUAAAGCGCAUGUAGGUGGCUUUUCAAGUCAACUGUGAAAGCCCAGGGCCUAACCCUGGAAGUGCAGUUGAUACUGUUGAGCUUGAGUACGAGAGAGGAUAGUGGAAUUCCAGGUGUAGUGGUGAAAUACGUAGAUAUCUGGAGGAACAUCGGUGGCGAAGGCGGCUAUCUGGCUCGAUACUGACACUGAGAUGCGAAAGCGUGGGGAUCAAACAGGAUUAGAUACCCUGGUAGUCC